GAGUAGUGGCGAGCGAAAGCGGAAGAGGCUAAACCUAUGUCGUGUCAAGCCGGCAGGCGUUGCGAUGUGGGUGUUGUGGGAUGUCGUCGUAGGUGGACUGCCGUCUGCCUGACUGCGUGGUGUCGCGUUAGCGGAAGACUUCUGGAAAGGGUUGCCGUAGUGGGUGAGAGCCCCGUACGCGAAAACCCGACACGCGUGGUGGAUGAUGCUCCCGAGUAGCAGCGAGCUCGUGGAAUUUGCUGUGAAUCUGCCGGGACCACCCGGUAAGCCUAAAUACUCCCUGAUGACCGAUAGCGGACUAGUACCGUAAGGGAAAGGUGAAAAGCACCCUAAACAAGGGAGUGAAAUAGUACCUGAAAC
rnacentral:rRNA from 14 species